UUCCUUUGCUAAAUGAACGGAUGAUAAUGGGGCUUGUUUAAAUUAUAUUAGGAAGCUUUGUCAGGCCCAGAGUGUAUUUUCACUAACCCGUCUGAGUGGCUAAGGAAGAUACUUAUGGAUAAGAGUUGGAUUCAUCUGCCAAGCCUCAGUUGCCCCAGCCUAUAGCGGGUCCCUCCCAGCAUCAGCCUUCCCUGGCUACAUCAGGUCCAGUCCAGCCUUUGUUGCCCGAGUCUACAGUGGGUCCUUCUCAUCCCUAGCUUCCCGUGCCUACGGCGGGUCUCUCCCAGAGUUUGCCUCAAGAUCCACACCAGACAAUUGAUUCAUUAGAGGAUACUUCUAGUGAGUUGUUAUUCACGAAGAGAAGGAGUCGAGGCCCCACACGAUGCCAUCAAGUUUGGAACAUGUGUGAAGGGCAACGCAUUUUUAUUACCACCAACAAUCUAGGGUAACCCGUUAAUGAAAAUGUUAGCAAGCUGACAAACUUUUUGGGGACAAUAGCACGUAAUGGGGAUUACGCACCCCUUAAAUAUUCUAAUUGGAGGGUAGUGCCAAACGAGAAGAAGGAUGAUAUGU